rnacentral:rRNA from 1 species
GACGAACGCUGGCGGCGUGCUUAACACAUGCAAGUCGAACGGAAAGGCCCUGCUUUUGUGGCGUGCUCGAGUGGCGCACGGGUGAGUAACACGUGAGUAACCUGCCCUUGACUUUGGGCUACCUUCAGGACCCUGGGGCUAAUACCGGAUAGGAGCUCCUGCUGCUGGGUGGGGGUUGGCAAGUUUCGGCGGGUGGGGAUGGACUGGAGGCUUAUGAGCUUGUUGGUGGGGGCGUGGCCUACCAGGGCUUUGACGGGUAGCCGGCCUGCGCGGGUGACCGGCCACAAUGGGACUGAGAAGAGGCGCAGACGCCUACGGGAGGAAGCAGUGGGGAAGAUUGCACAACGGGCGGAAGACGCAUGAAGCAACGCCGCGUGCGGGAUGACGGCCUUCGGGUGGUAAACCGCUUUCGCCUGUGACGAAGCGUGAGUGACGGUAAUGGGUAAAGAAGCACCGGCUAACUACGUG